rnacentral:rRNA from 1 species
CGCAACCCAGUGCGACCAAGCGGUGCGAUACGUCGGGUCCGUGCUUUGGCUGGAUUGAGUCGUCAUAAGGAGCUCCGAGGCGUGUCCGUAAUUCAGAUGUGAAAACGCAGGGCUCAACCCGGAGACGCCAUCUGAGACUGCGGGUACUGGAGUCUGGUAGGGGAACACGGAAUUCCUGGUGUAGCGGUGAAAUGCGCAGAUAUCAGGAGGAACACCGAUGGCGAAGGCAGUGUUCUGGGCCAGUACUGACGCUGAGGAGCGAAAGCGUGGGGAGCAAACAGGAUUAGAUACCCGGUAGUC